rnacentral:misc_RNA from 1 species
GGAUGAAGAACGUAGCGAAAUGCGAUAAGUAAUGUGAAUUGCAGAAUUCAGUGAAUCAUCGAAUCUUUGAACGCACAUUGCGCCCGCCAGUAUUCUGGCGGGCAUGCCUGUUCGAGCGUCAUUUCAACCCCUCAAGCUCUGCUUGGUGCUGGGGCCCUACGUGCGCCGUAGGCCCCGAAUUCCAGUGGCGGGCUCGCCGCGAUCCCGAGCGCAGUAAUGUUACCUCGCUCAGGGCGCGCGGCGGGCGCCGGCCGUGAAACAGACCAAACCCACAAGGUUGACCUCGGAUCAGGUAGGAAUACCCGCUGAACUUAAGCAUAUCAAUAAGCGGAGGA